rnacentral:rRNA from 1 species
GCAGAACGCGAAGAACCUUACCCACCUUUGACAUGUACGGAAGUUGCCAGAGAUGGCUUCGUGCUCGAAAGAGAGCCGUAACACAGGUGCUGCAUGGCUGUCGUCAGCUCGUGUCGUGAGAUGUUGGGUUAAGUCCCGCAACGAGCGCAACCCUUGUCAUUAGUUGCUACGAAAGGGCACUCUAAUGAGACUGCCGGUGACAAACCGGAGGAAGGUGGGGAUGACGUCAAGUCCUCAUGGCCCUUAUAGGUGGGGCUACACACGUCAUACAAUGGCCGGUACAAAGGGGCAGCCAACCCGCGAGGGGGAGCUAAUCCCAUAAAGCCGGUCGUAGUCCGGAUCGCAGUCUGCAACUCGACUGCGUGAAGUCGGAAUCGCUAGUAAUCGUGGAUCAGCAUGUCACGGUGAAUACGUUCCCGGGUCUUGUACACACCG